GCCGGUGUGGCCGAGUGGUUGCUAGGCACUUCAGUCUGGAACACUGGACCGCUACGGUCGCAGGUUCGAAUCCUGCCUCUGGCA